AUUGAACGCUGGCGGCAUGCCUUACACAUGCAAGUCGAACGGCAGCACGGGAGCUUGCUCCUGGUGGCGAGUGGCGAACGGGUGAGUAAUGCAUCGGAACGUGCCCUGAAGUGGGGGAUAACGUAGCGAAAGUUACGCUAAUACCGCAUAUUCUGUGAGCAGGAAAGCAGGGGAUCUUCGGACCUUGCGCUUUUGGAGCGGCCGAUGUCGGAUUAGCUAGUUGGUGGGGUAAAGGCCCACCAAGGCGACGAUCCGUAGCGGGUCUGAGAGGAUGAUCCGCCACACUGGAACUGAGACACGGUCCAGACUCCUACGGGAGGCAGCAGUGGGGAAUUUUGGACAAUGGGCGCAAGCCUGAUCCAGCCAUGCCGCGUGAGUGAAGAAGGCCUCGG
rnacentral:rRNA from 1 species